rnacentral:rRNA from 1 species
GACGAACGCUGGCGGCGUGCUUAACACAUGCCAGUCGAACGGAAAGGCCCUGCUUUUGUGGGGUGCUCGAGUGGCGAACGGGUGAGUAACACGUGAGUAACCUGCCCUUGACUUUGGGAUAACUUCAGGAAACUGGGGCUAAUACCGGAUAGGAGCUCCUGCUGCAUGGUGGGGGUUGGAAAGUUUCGGCGGUUGGGGAUGGACUCGCGGCUUAUCAGCUUGUUGGUGGGGUAGUGGCUUACCAAGGCUUUGGCGGGUAGCCGGCCUGAGAGGGUGACCGGCCACAUUGGGACUGAGAUACGGCCCAGACUCCUACGGGAGGCAGCAGUGGGGAAUAUUGCACAAUGGGCGGAAGCCUGAUGCAGCAACGCCGCGUGCGGGAUGACGGCCUUCGGGUUGUAAACCGCUUUCGCCUGUGACGAAGCGUGAGUGACGGUAAUGGGUAAAGAAGCACCGGCUAACUACGU